CGUCCAGUUCGCCGGUAUUGGAGCAUCGCGAGCGAUGGCGGAGUCCUCUGAGGAGGGCGUGGGGAGCGGAGGAAGGUCGGCUGGGGAACCGGAGGCGGAGGACGUUCCACAAGGGCAAGACUGACUGAGGCAACUGGAGAGGGAUGGGAGACAGAGAGCGUCUUCCCCUCGCUAAUCGGAAAAGGGCCGAGCAUCAACAACUCGGUAACCCACGGCGAGCUAGAGGGGUUAACCUUCCGGGAUAACAAGACUUGGACCUCCGAGGUGAACAAACCGGACCCAACACCCCCAAAACCGGCUUCCGGAGCGGGAGCACAGGGAUGGCUUCCACUGCUCGUGCCCGGCAGCCACUGCGCAUGCCCCCACGCUGUGGCCAAUGGGAGCCCGGCGCGCAGGAGCGGAGGCGGGACUAUGUUGUUCCCGAGGCCACGGCAGUUCCCGACAACAGCAGGGACCGGAAUUCGGUCAUCGGCCAAUCAGAGCCCACAAGGGCCCGCCCCUGAGCCAAUUGCCUGCUCGGGUGCGGUGAAAGCUGAUUCAAAAUAAAGGAUCGAGGCGGUUGA